GGGUCACACCCCUCCCCCUUGCUUUGAAAAAGCCUCCGGGAGGGCAGCGACUCGUCGCUGCCCACCAGGCGCUGGGAGGUGAACGUGCUUGUGAGGCAGGAGAAGUAAUGAUGCCAUCUACUGGCAGAGGACAGACCACUUCUGGAAUCUGGUACUUUUCUCGAUAAAGCUCGUGUCUUCCCCUGAUACUAGCCAUUAUCUCAGUACAACUCCUGGGAUUGCAGAAAAUGUAAAAAAGCCUGUAAAUGCAUCAGCAUACUGGGUCACCUGAAGACAUAUGAAAUUUCUGUUCAUAGGGCUGUGCUUACAGAUGACCAGCUGAAGUUGGGAAACAUUGAAUGGAAAACUUACUACAACUAUAUUAAAAAGAAAAGGAUUCACCAGAUUAAGGAAGCUGCUGAUCCUGAGGAGACAGAGGAAUUUUCCUGUUUUGACAUUGCUUAAUUUUACAGAUUUUAUGUAAGUCACAUGAUGCUGGUGGUUGAAAGGCCAGAGUUUUUGAAGGCUUUUUGAAUGCUUUUUCAUGAGUAACCACAGAGGGCCUCUGAAGGGUGUGUGUUGUUAUACCAUUGUCUCUGGAAAAGAGCAGUAUUUCUGAUGUUGAACCUCUUCACCAACUACAGGAUGAAUCAAGGUAUAUUUUGCUUGGAAAUGGAAUAAUAUCAACUUCCCCUCUGUGUUAACAAAUGCUAUGUCUCUUGCUAAGGCUAUUAAGAAAUGCUUUAUUUGUUUUUGGAUAUCAAAUGCUGUGGACUAGAGGAAGCAGUUGCUUUUCAUAGAUAGAAAUAAUCUUUUUUUUAUGAUAAAGUUGUCUUACUGGAUGGUGAAUAAGAACACCACGUAUGUCUAAAGAGAAAUGAUUUUGACUUCUUGCGGUUUUGGCAAUUAAAGGCCAAGUUGUAGUAAACUUAAAUUCAAGGAAGAAGAAGGAAGGAAACAUGAUAAAAAUUUGCAAAGAACCCUCUUUAGUUUAGGCCUAUGCUAAUGCCAAUGAGGCCAGAUCCCAAGAGAUCUCAGUUCUCAGCCCUUGUGUGACUUGUAGGCAGUGUUUGAAUUGAAAGCUUUCGUCCUUCCCUGUCUCUAGAGAAAAGGAACCAGUUAGGGUUGCUGCAGAUGGCAGAGCAUAUCUGACAUUCUUCUAAUAAACAGACUAGUGUUUGGACAAUUGUGUACUGGAAAAAAAAAAAUAUUUGUCAAACCUUAUGUAGAAGAAAAGAGGAUUAAUGCAGAAACUAAAAGCUAAUCCUCUCUGGCCCAUGCAGUUGAAAAUGGAUCAAAUUUCCCAUUGCUUCUCCAUCCUCUCAGUUUUGUAACAGCAGGAAGGGAAAGGGGUAGAAGGGACAUCCUGGAUGUAGUUGAGGGGCAAAGCUGUCUCCUACCAUUUCAUACCUAGGCCAAGGUGGAAAGUGGAUGGUCUUUGAAGUUGGAGGAGGAUAAUAGGAGCAUGCAUUACCACUGAAGCAGGAAGCUGAAGCAUGUAUAGUUAAUGUGGGGGAAAUGAAGGAAUGGAGUGAGAUGAACACAAAAGGAACAAAUUAGAACAACUUGGGAGAUGGGAGGGAGGGAACUAACAGGAAGUUGGAUGCCCUGAAUCCUAGGGCAGAAUUUUCUGUAACCUAGAUUACUUCCUGUAACGUAAUUUUAUUUUGAGUUCUUGAAUUGAAAUCCAAAUCACCUCAUUUCACUACGUUUUGGAGGGUAGGUUGGUCUGCAUCUAUAUUAAGUUUGAGUACUUUGAACUUGGGAAAAAUAAAGAGAGAUCAAAAGAGUGAUUAAAAACCUUACCCAUGAACUGUCUUUCAUUUGGGUUUUCAACAGGUUAGGCUGACAAUGUACCUCUGUGAACUGAUACCACAACUGAAAUCCUUGCAUAGCCAAUGAUCUUAUUUUCUGGUGAUUACUUGAUGAUUACUCUUAUUUUCUGAUUAUUUUCUUACUGUCACAGGUGGAGGCACAGCUAUUUUGGGUUAGUGCUUUUCACUCAAACUUGUUUGGUUGCUUUCCCAUUCAAGAAAGGUUAAAUUUUUAGAAACAAUUACUAUUAAUUUACUGAAGGCUGUGUGGCCUUACUGUGAAGUCUAGUGGGAACAGUUUUAUGUGAUUGUAGACAGGAUCUUUCCAAUGGUUAGCUGUGGUAAUAUCUAUUACAGUAACAAUAACAUCAAUGAGGUUGAAAACCACAUGCUCAGUGAGUCGAUUCUCCAUAUUAAUCUUCCGAGGACAGACACUUGUGAGAAACAACCAAAAUGUCUAAAUAUGAAUAAAUGGCCGUUGAAUCAUGUUACAUAUUUUUGUGUCUUUUAUCUUAUAUUCCAUGCCAAUUCCAAUUAUAGUAAAGCUAGGCUACAUACUUAAGCUUUUGCCUGACUUUGUUCCUAUUUUGUUUGUGUCUUUCAGAAGUGAGUCCAUAACUGAUCGUAGCAGAACAUGUUUAACAUGUAGAGGACACUAUACACCAGUAAAGACAUCCUUGGUGUCAUCCACUCUGCUAAAACAGUGUGGAAAUUGGUUAUCACUGAAGUACAACAUUUUAAAUGGUUCUUUCUUAGCAGACCAGCAAAUGGGCUUGUUCUCUUAAUUGGAAAUUCUGUAGUUGUUGGAGUAUAGUGCCUAAAGAGCUUACAUGGUGAACUGCAACACCCACUCAUACUCUACUGAGAUUUGUUAUGAUGUUAUAAAAUGACAUUAGAAAGCAGAGGAUGAUGUCUAAAAUAGCACAGAGGCCUCUAAAUGAGAUCAGUCCAAAAAGUGCUGCCUGAAACACUGUGUUGUGCUUGAGGUUUCCAGCAGAAAAUUCCUGAAGUGCCUAACAAUAUGUUAAUAUACAUGCUUCAUACUCAGUGACUUUGUCUAUGUGUCCUGUUUCCUUCUUUGGUACUAUAAAUCCAGUAAAUAAGUGUCCUUGCAUUUAAACUCCCUGACUGGCAUGUUUGGCAUGCUCUGAACACACCUAAAUCCAUCUGACUGUGCUGAUUCAAACUUAGGCCAACGCUGACUCCAAAAAUGCUGCUGCGAUCUG